rnacentral:rRNA from 1 species
UACGUAGGGUGCAAGCGUUGUCCAGAAUUAUUGGGCGUAAAGAGCUCGUAGGCGGUUUGUCGCGUCUGCUGUGAAAACUCAGGGCUUAACCCUGAGCCUGCAGUGGGUACGGGCAGACUAGAGUGUGGUAGGGGAGAUCGGAAUUCCUGGUGUAGCGGUGGAAUGCGCAGAUAUCAGGAGGAACACCGGUGGCGAAGGCGGAUCUCUGGGCCAUAACUGACGCUGAGGAGCGAAAGCAUGGGGAGCGAACAGG